GUCGUAACGACUCUGAAUCCAUUCAGCAUCAGUCAACUUGGGACUUGAGGGUGCUAUUAUUCUUUUGUUUCUUUCUUUAUUUUUCCCUUGAUUUUGAUUUUGAUUUUUCUUUUGAUUUUCUUUUAUUUUUCACCCUCCUCUUUUUUUUUUGAUUACAUUUGUAAUGCCCCAGUUGGAUUGUUUUGCUGAUUCUCGAGAUGCAGUUGAGUGAUCUUCUUUUCUUGCUCAAGAAGUCGGGAAAUCUCGUCAGGAAUCCCUUCAACAUCCUCUUCUUCCGCUUCGAAUACAGGGAAUUCAAAG
rnacentral:lncRNA from 1 species